rnacentral:rRNA from 1 species
UACGUAGGGGCCAAGCGUUGUCCGGAGUUACUGGGCGUAAAGCGCGCGCAGGUGGCUCAUUACGCCCGGCGUGAAAGCCCCCGGCCUAACCGGGGAGGGUCGUCGGGGACGGGUGAGCUUGAGGGUAGCAGGGGCUGGUAGAAUUCCCGGUGUAGUGGUGAAAUGCGUAGAGAUCGGGAGGAAUACCCGUGGCGAAGGCGGCCAGCUGGGCUACACCUGACACUGAGGCGCGAAGGCGUGGGGAGCGAACGGG